rnacentral:rRNA from 1 species
UGCGUAGGCGGGUCUUUAAGUCGGGGGUGAAAUCCUGGAGCUCAACUCCAGAACUGCCUUUGAUACUGAAGAUCUUGAGUUCGGGAGAGGUGAGUGGAACUGCGAGUGUAGAGGUGAAAUUCGUAGAUAUUCGCAAGAACACCAGUGGCGAAGGCGGCUCACUGGCCCGAUACUGACGCUGAGGCACGAAAGCGUGGGAGCAAACA